GGGGUAUUGGUUUUCGGACUAAGAGACCGGCGCACGGGUGCGUAACGCGUAUGCAAUCUACCUUUUACAGAGGGAUAGCCCAGAGAAAUUUGGAUUAAUACCUCAUAGUAUUAUAGAAUGGCAUCAUUUUAUAAUCAAAGUCACAACGGUAAAAGAUGAGCAUGCGUCCCAUUAGCUAGUUGGUAAGGUAACGGCUUACCAAGGCUACGAUGGGUAGGGGUCCUGAGAGGGAGAUCCCCCACACUGGUACUGAGACACGGACCAGACUCCUACGGGAGGCAGCAGUGAGGAAUAUUGGACAAUGGGCGCAAGCCUGAUCCAGCCAUGCCGCGUGCAGGAUGACGGUCCUAUGGAUUGUAAACUGCUUUUAUACGAGAAGAAACACUGCUUCGUGAAGCAGCUUGACGGUAUCGUAAGAAUAAGGAUCGGCUAACUCCGUGCCAGCAGCCGCGGUAAUACGGAGGAUCCAAGCGUUAUCCGGAAUCAUUGGGUUUAAAGGGUCCGUAGGCGGUUUAAUAAGUCAGUGGUGAAAGCCCAUCGCUCAACGGUGGAACGGCCAUUGAUACUGUUAAACUUGAAUUAUUAGGAAGUAACUAGAAUAUGUAGUGUAGCGGUGAAA
rnacentral:rRNA from 1 species